rnacentral:rRNA from 1 species
AAUCCCCGGGCUUAACCUGGGAACUGCAUUUUGUAACUGCAAGGCUAGAGUACGGCAGAGGGGGGUAGAAUUCCACGUGUAGCAGUGAAAUGCGUAGAUAUGUGGAGGAAUACCGAUGGCGAAGGCAGCCCCCCUGGGUCGAUACUGACGCUCAUGCACGAAAGCGUGGGGAGCAAAACAGGAUUAGAUACCCUGGUAGUCCACGCCCUAAACGAUGUCAACUAGGUGUUGGGGGAGGAGACUUCCUUAGUACCGCAGCUAACGCGUGAAGUUGACCGCCUGGGGAGUACGGUCGCAAGAUUAAAACUCAAAGGAAUUGACGGGGACCCGCACAAGCGGUGGAUUAUGUGGAUUAAUUCGAUGCAACGCGAAAAAACCUUACCUACCCUUGACAUGCCAGGACUUGCCAGA